UUGGAGGGCAAGUCUGGUGCCAGCAGCCGCGGCAAUUCCAGCUCCAAUAGCGUAUAUUAAAGUUGCUGCAGUUAAAAAGCUCGUAGUUGAAUUUCGGGAUCAAUAUGUUGGUCGUGCCUCGGUACGUACUAGCUUAUUGGUUUCUCCCUUCUGACGAACCAUGAUGUCAUUUAUUUGGUGUUAUGGGGAAUCAGGACUGUUACUUUGAAAAAAUUAGAGUGUUUAAAGCAGGCUCACGCUUGAAUACAUUAGCAUGGAAUAAUGAAAUAGGACGUUUGAUUCUAUUUUGUUGGUUUCUAGGAUCGACGUAAUGAUUAAUAGGGAUAGUUGGGGGCAUUAGUAUUCAAUUGUCAGAGGUGAAAUUCUUGGAUUUAUUGAAGACUAACUACUGCGAAAGCAUUUGCCAAGGAUGUUUUCAUUAAUCAAGAACGAAAGUUAGGGGAUCGAAGACGAUCAGAUACCGUCGUAGUCUUAACCAUAAACUAUGCCGACUAGGGAUCGGAUGAUGUUAAUUUUUUAAUGACUCAUUCGGCGCCUUACCGGGAAAC
rnacentral:rRNA from 1 species